UUGCCCAUUUAUGACCCUAAGUGUCCUAAAUGUCGAACGCAGGGGGGUAGAUAAAUUCUCUCAUAAACCUAAAGUAAAGGCAAUUUCCUUGCUUUGGAUCCUGUCGGGAGAAAUACAU
ensembl:snoRNA